UAUGUCUGGGUAGAAUGGUGAGAGGUAACCCAAUGGGGAUGUCUGGGUAGAAUGGUGAGAGGUAACCCAAUGGGGAUGUCUGGGUAGAAUGGUGAGAGGUAACCCAAUGGGGAUGUCUGGGUAGAAUGGUGAGAGGUAACCCAAUGGGGAUGUCUGGGUAGAAUGGUGAGAGGUAACCCAAUGGGGAUGUCUGGGUAGAAUGGUGAGAGGUAACCCAAUGGGGAUGUCUGGGUAGAAUGGUGAGAGGUAACCCAAUGGGGAUGUCUGGGUAGAAUGGUGAGAGGUAACCCAAUGGGUAUGUCUGGGUAGAAUGGUGAGAGGUAACCCAAUGGGUAUGUCUGGGUAGAAUGGUGAGAGGUAACCCAAUGGGUAUGUCUGGGUAGAAUGGUGAGAGGUAACCCAAUGGGUAUGUCUGGGUAGAAUGGUGAGAGGUAACCCAAUGGGGAUGUCUGGGUAGAAUGGUGAGAGGUAACCCAAUGGGUAUGUCUGGGUAGAAUGGUGAGAGGUAACCCAAUGGGUAUGUCUGGGUAGAAUGGUGAGAGGUAACCCAAUGGGUAUGUCUGGGUAGAAUGGUGAGAGGUAACCCAAUGGGUAUGUCUGGGUAGAAUGGUGAGAGGUAACCCAAUGGGUAUGUCUGGGUAGAAUGGUGAGAGGUAACCCAAUGGGUAUGUCUGGGUAGAAUGGUGGGAGGUAACCCAAUGGGUAUGUCUGGGUAGAAUGGUGAGAGGUAACCCAAUGGGUAUGUCUGGGUAGGUUGGGUGAGAGGUAACACAAUGGGUUUGUUUGGGUAAACAAUAUGACCUGGUGUAUAGAACAGGAUUACACAGUUCCCAUUAGUUACUGGUGUCAUGACGUUGGCCUGUGGGUAGGUUUAUGACAGUCAUAAAUACCUCUUCCCCCCUUUUUCCUCUCUCUACCCUACUGAUGUGAAAUUUGAAAACCCAUUGGUUAACAUAGAGAUUCUGGGAACAUCAGAAGGUGGGGGGAAAUGAACUAUAUUCUGGUAAUCUGACCAAUUGAACAUAUGCAGUGGUACUUAAUGAAUAUGAUGUCAGUUCGGUUGUCAUCUGAGACAUUCUCAUCAAUGAUAAGAUGACAUAAACUCUACAGUGGAAAGUCUACACAUUGUAGUUAUCGGAUUCACAUGGAAUUGUUGUUCAAUUUAAAUGUUUGACUAUAACAAUUAUUGGUGAAGAGAUUACAUGUACUUUUAGCUUCCAAAUGAGAGACUGGGGUUUUCAUAAGGGCUCUGCUCAAUCAUUGCCCCCCCCCCCCUGUGAAGGGACAUGGCUAUAAAACCUUUAAAACACGCCCUCCUCUCCCUUCCUAUCUAAAGCCUUGAUGACAAAAUGUAACCUCCUGUUCCGAGGAUGUGAGGACGACGGUCCGAUGUCAGAAUGGUUCAUAGAAUGAAGCCACAGAACGAAGCCAACAUCAGCGUGAGCUUUGGUUGCGAAUGGAAUUGACUUGUUAAUUGUUUACUCCAUGUGUAACUCUGUGUUGUCUGUUCACACUGCUAUGCUUUAUCUUGGCCAGGUCGCAGUUGCAAAUAAGAACUUGUUCUCAACUAGCCUACCUGGUUAAAUAAAGGUGGAAAAAAAGAACUUAGAACUCUUAUUCACUACAAAAGUGAUACCUCCUAGCCGUUGAGUUAUCAACAGCAGCUGCAAACGAGGGUUAGGAAGGAACAGACAGAGUAUCCCGUCUAUCACACAACGACGUUACUACAACGUAUCCAAUUGACCACCAAAGACAUUCUUCAAAGGACUCGGUUUGGCAACACGGCCUUACAUGUACCACCAACCUAGCGAAGCGCAGCUCAGAGUAAAUAUUUAUUGCAUUUUCCUUUUCCAAAUGGGCGGUAAUUUAGAAUGCAUGAAAUACUGUAUAUACGAUAGCACAGCUUCUCCCUUUGUCUCUGUCUUCCCGAUCUUUCACUCAAAUCCAGCCCUUUUCUUUUGUGUAACCAGCUGUCACAUCUGUUCCGCCCGCUAGGGACGUUUUCCUUCAUGAUGUAAUUUGUAAUCAAGGUAUGAUUAAUUAUGUGUAUGUAAUUCUGUGUGUUCAGUUAUGUAUUUAGUAAAUUAAUAAUUAAACCCAAUUUUGUAUUGCUGAUUCAAUUUGUUUGCAAGGGUUCGUGAAGAUAACCAAGAAUUUACAACUUUCAGAUGAGACUGAAUUAAGGUGACGAUUAAUAUUGACUGCUAUUGAUGUAAAAUAUUACUAGGUCUUCACACAACAUUGCUUCU